rnacentral:rRNA from 1 species
UACGUAGGGGGCUAGCGUUGUCCGGAAUCAUUGGGCGUAAAGAGCGUGUAGGCGGCCCGGUAAGUCCGCUGUGAAAGUCGGGGGGCUCAACCCUCGAAUGCCGCUGGAAACUGUCUGGCUUGAGUCCGGAAGGGGCGAGUGGAAUUCCUGGUGUAGCGGUGAAAUGCGCAGAUAUCAGGAGGAACACCAAUGGCGAAGGCAGCUCGCUGGAACGGUACUGACGCUGAGGCGCGAAAGCGUGGGGAGCAAACAGG